AGGGGGUUAACGAGGGGCUCUCUGCCGCGGCGGCUCUGCCGGCUGCUAUCAAAGCAGACGUGCGGCCGCUCCUCCUCCUCUCUCACCUCCCUUCACCCCUCCCCCCGCCUUUCCUUUCUGUGCGUCUGGUUCUGAUCCGUGCGCUUUAUACGCAUGUGCCUCCCGCGUCCUGUCCGUCUUACAUAACACAUCCAGUGCAGCAGAGGACACGAGAAAAUGCGACCCCAGCCCUCCCAGCCGAAAUCGGGCGAAGGGGUAGAAGGUCAGGAAGUGUCCCUUGGUGUUGUCCUUCAGGGACGUGGCUCCGGUGGGGGGAAAGGAGAGGGGGAGGAGGGUUUUCUUCAAGUGGCUCCUCUCUGACUUGAAAGCAUCUAAGUAGAAAGGACUGCAGGAACUAGUCCUCUCUAAUGGGAAAGCUUUUACAUGCCACGCCAAGGAAAAGUGGGUACUUUAACCGCAGGAGUGCAAAGAGAGAGGGUCCUUAAUAGAGACGCUCGCAGGAAAUGGGCAGUCAUACGUGCGGGGUAGGGGGCAGUAGGGAUGGCUUCGAGGGGACCGCAGGACUCCCUUGAUAGUAGAUCGGUUUCACUGGAGGGUUUAGGACACCUGUAAUGGUUGAGAAUUCGCACAGGAAGCAGAGUGUGCAACUGACAUUGCAAAAGCCCUAUUCUCUGCACAGUUACUUGGGCCUAAAAUGAACAUAAAAAGGCUUGUUUCCGGUACUUUCAUUAUAAUGGAAAAUUUGAACUGAUUUUCCUCCUUCCUUUUUUUGCCGUGUUAAAAAUAAUUCAGUUGACUUCCAAAUUGUUAUUGGUACUCUUCCCCCACCCCCAAAGGCUAGACCUGGGUCAGGCAGGAGAGAACUGUGUUUUUCUAGCAUACCCAGAGCCCUGGUCAAGGGCUAUUGAUUUUUCUCUUCAGUACAGUUGUUUCUUUUGUAGUGCCUAAUCAAGCCCAGAAAUUACUUGAAAUAUUAAUAAGAUCCAUUUUAAUUAAGUUUGCUAUGAUCUGUCCUCCUAGAAAAAAACAGUUUAACUUUAUUAGAAACGUUUUCUCUAGUGAUGUAGUAAUGUUUGGUGCUGUUUGUCUUUGAGGAAAUCAAGUUAUUUAAAAUAUUUGCACCUAUGUGUUAUAUGUACUUAAAUAUAUAUUACAUAUAUCAUAUAUAUAGCACAUAUAUAUUAGAAUUUGUGAAUGUCUUGUGCUUAUUCUCCAUAUAACAGUGCCAAAGCAAAAAUUUACCCAAGAAGAUUGUAUAAUAAAUAGACUGGUUUUGAUUUUUAGGAUAUAGGC
rnacentral:lncRNA from 1 species